rnacentral:rRNA from 1 species
AGAGUUUGAUCCUGGCUCAGGAUGAACGCUGGCGGCGUGCCUAAUACAUGCAAGUCGAACGAGGUGCUUUUGUAGCAAUACGAGAGUAUCCUAGUGGCGAACGGGUGAGUAACGCGUUGGUGACUUACCCCAAAGUGUGGAAUAACAGUCCGAAAGGAUUGCUAAUACCGCAUGUGGUCAUUGGAUUUAGAAACUGAUGACUAAAGGAGCAAUUCGCUUUGGGAGGGACCUGCGUCCCAUCAGCUAGUUGGUGAGGUAACGGCCCACCAAGGCUACGACGGGUAGGGGACCUGAGAGGGUGACCCCCCACAAUGGAACUGAAACACGGUCCAUACACCUACGGGUGGCAGCAGUAGGGAAUAUUGCACAAUGGGCGAAAGCCUGAUGCAGCAACGCCGCGUGUGCGAUGAAGGCCUUCGGGUCGUAAAGCACUUUUCUGAGAGAUGAGAAAGGACAGUAUCUCAGGAAUAAGUCUCGGCUAACUACGUGCCAGCAGCCGCGGUAACACGUAGGAGGCGAGCGUUAUCCGGAUUCACUGGGCGUAAAGCGCGUGCAGGCGGUUUCGGUAAGUUGGGCGUGAAAGCUCCCGGCUCAACUGGGAGAGGUCGUUCAAUACUCCCAGACUUAGAGAAGCCAUAAAGAGGAAAAUGGAAUUCCAGGUGUAGUGGUGAAAUGCGUAAAUAUCUGGAGGAACACCAGUGGCGAAGGCGAUUKKCGWRGKCKAYYWCYKRSRCUSAKACGYGACASUGAGGUUCAAACGCGCAGUAGGGUAGUAACAGGAUUAGAGACCCCGGUAUCCUACCGUAAACGAUGUCAACUAGCCGUUGGGAGCCUUGAGCUCUUAGUGGCGCAGCUAACGCAUUAAGUUGACCGCCUGGGGAGUACGGCCGCAAGGUUAAAACUCAAAUGAAUUGACGGGGGCCCGCACAAGCGGUGGAGCAUGUGGUUUAAUUCGAAGCAACGCGAAGAACCUUACCAGGCCUUGACAUCCAAUGAACUUUCCAGAGAUGGAUUGGUGCCUUCGGGAACAUUGAGACAGGUGCUGCAUGGCUGUCGUCAGCUCGUGUCGUGAGAUGUUGGGUUAAGUCCCGUAACGAGCGCAACCCUUGUCCUUAGUUACCAGCACGUAAUGGUGGGCACUCUAAGGAGACUGCCGGUGACAAACCGGAGGAAGGUGGGGAUGACGUCAAGUCAUCAUGGCCUCUUACGGCCUGGGCUACACACGUGCUACAAUGGUCGGUACAGAGGGUUGCCAAGCCGCGAGGUGGAGCUAAUCCCAGAAAACCGAUCGUAGUCCGGAUCGCAGUCUGCAACUCGACUGCGUGAAGUUGGAAUCGCUAGUAAUCGCGGAUCAGCAUGUCGCGGUGAAUACGUUCCCGGGUCUUGUACACACCGCCCGUCACACCAUGGGAGCGGGUUUUACCAGAAGUAGGUAGCUUAACCGCAAGGAGGGCGCUUACCACGGUAGGAUUCGUGACUGGGGUGAAGUCGUAACAAGGUAACCGUA